UUCACUUCGUUUUUAGUUCUCUUUCUAAAGACCAUUUAACAACUUAAUAUUUAAAACAAUUCAUGAAUUACGUUCCCUAUACAUUUUCAUUAUGUGCUUUAAUUACCAUUGACCAGUUGAUGGAAGAUACUGCAGAGUUUGGCAGGGAAAUAAUCCAACAGCAAAGCGGCUCUUUAAGCGCAUUUACCUAGAGGACUUACAGGGCCACAAAUUCAUGAGCACAUGUGAGCAGUAUACAAUGUACCUCAUACCAAAAAGGACCCGGAGGCAGUGACUGGUGUUCAAUAUUCUCAGAAGAAAAGGAAAAUGGCAGUGGAAGACUUGGACAAACAUUUUUAAAAACUAGCCUCUGUGUUAAGCCUGGCAGUCUGUGGCUGGUGACAUGUUUUAUUUUGGUUACUUCUUGUAUAAAAAAGACCAGUUAUUUAUUUUGUGAAUUGUA